rnacentral:rRNA from 1 species
GAUGAACGCUGGCGGCGUGCCUAAUACAUGCAAGUCGAGCGAACAGACGAGGAGCUUGCUCCUCUGACGUUAGCGGCGGACGGGUGAGUAACACGUGGAUAACCUACCUAUAAGACUGGGAUAACUUCGGGAAACCGGAUCUAAUACCGGAUAAUAUAUUGAACCGCAUGGUUCAAUAGUGAAAGACGGUUUUGCUGUCACUUAUAGAUGUAUCCGCGCCGCAUUAGCUAGUUGGUAAGGUAACGGCUUACCAAGGCGACGAUGCGUAGCCGACCUGAGAGGGUGAUCGGCCACACUGGAACUGAGACACGGUCCAGACUCCUACGGGAGGCAGCAGUAGGGAAUAUUCCGCAAUGGGCGAAAGCCUGACGGAGCAACGCCGCGUGAGUGAUGAAGGUCUUCGGAUCGUAAAACUCUGUUAUUAGGGAAGAACAAAUGUGUAAGUAACUAUGCACGUCUUGACGGUACCUAAUCAGAAAGCAACGGCUAACUACGUG